AACAUUAUAGAGUAUUAAUUACACAUCUAAUUAUCCAUACCCAGGAUGAACCAUAGUCAAACUAUUAACCAAUAAAUAUUGCACAAGUGUACAUUUACAUAAAAUAAUAAUAUGAGAGCACUCUUAAUAAAUCUAUAAGUAAAUAAACUAUUGUUACAUGCAAUUCUCGUGGAAUCAUUCUAUUUGUUUAUUACACAAAAUUAGCUCCUUCAUUGGGUAUAAAUUCUACCUCUUUUGCACUCUUAGCACACAGCAAUUUUCUAAAAAUCUCAAUCUAUACCUGCAUAGAAGAAUGGCUUCUUUCCAAAAGCAAUAGCUGUGUUCAUGCUCCUCUUCUGGGUCGCUACAGUUGGUGAGUAAUUUUUAUUCCGUUGAACCCAUAGUUUAGCUGUGUUCAUGCUCUUCUUCUGGGUCGCUACAGUUGGUGAGUAAUUUUUAUUGAUAACUCCCUUCACUACGAAUGCAAUGCAUGCACGUUUACAUUACACACUACUACAACCACGCACUUUUCUGAUGGACGUUCUCGUCAAAAUUUAUAGAAAAAUUUACUAAUGCUCUUUUGUUUUUGUUUUUCUUUCACUGAGCCGAGGGUCGAUUGGAAACAGCCUCUCUGCCCUUUCGGGUAGGGGUAAGGCUCGUCUACAUAUUUGAACUCAUUGGUUCUAUGUUCUAAUAUAGCGAAAACUGGAGUUUAAAUUCAAUUUGUAUACAUAUUUAGCGAAUUUCAUAAAACAAAGAGUUUGGACUAAAGCUAGUAGAAUAUUCCGUUGAAUCCAUACGGAAGUCGGAAGAUGGAGCCUAUCAAACCCUGGCUAUCUCAGCCUCUUAUACGGGCCGACCUGUCCACUGCACUUUCACUGAAGCAACAUCCUUGGAC
rnacentral:lncRNA from 1 species